rnacentral:rRNA from 1 species
AUUGAACGCUGGCGGCAGGCCUAACACAUGCAAGUCGAGCGAGCGGCGGACGGGUGAGUAAUGUCUGUGUAUCUGCCUGAUGGAGGGGGAUAACUACUGGAAACGGUAGCUAAUACCGCAUACCAUCAGAUGCGCCCAGAUGGGAUUAGCUAGUCGGUGGGGUAACGGCUCACCUAGGCGACGAUCUCUAGCUGGUCUGAGAGGAUGACCAGCCACACUGGGACUGAGACACGGGCCAGACUCCUACGGGAGGCAGCAGUGGGGAAUAUUGCACAAUGGGCGCAAGCCUGAUGCAGCCAUGCCGCGUGUAUGAAGAAGGCCUUCGGGUUGUAAAGUACUUUCAGCGGGGAGGCGUUACCCGCAGAAGAAGCACCGGCUAACUCCGUGCCAGCAGCCGCGGUAAUAC